CCCAGAGGUAUUGAUGGGUGAACAUCAACAAGUUUAUUGAUUACACCAACCUGCGCAGAUGCGCAGGUUUUUUUU
rfam:Pantoea gaviniae strain LMG 25382 Contig0185_, whole genome shotgun sequence.